rnacentral:rRNA from 1 species
UACAGGGGGGUGCAAACGUUGCUCGGAAUCAUUGGGCGUAAAGAGCUCGUAGGCGGUCCGUCACGUCGGCUGUGAAAACCCGAGGCUCAACCUCGGGCCUGCAGUCGAUACGGGCAGACUAGAGUGCGGUAGGGGAGACUGGAAUUCCUGGUGUAGCGGUGAAAUGCGCAGAUAUCAGGAGGAACACCGGUGGGCGAAAGGG